AAACUGGGCUAAUGAAUAUGCCAUAAUCGUUAUUAAAACGGGAAAAAACUGAGCUCAGGUUUAAACCAAAUUAAUAGUAACUCUCAAGGGUACGGUGGGUGGGUUUAUGUUAUUUCAACUUGUAAUAAAUUGGUUGUGCGCGACAACGUGACAGUCACAUGACCUUUUAUACCAGUUUCUAUCCCAGGAAAUAUCGCGGGGAUAUCAAUAGAAACGAUCUAAGCGUCACCUGAAUUAUAUAUUUCUUCCGUAUAUAUGUUACCACCUUUCCAGAAAGAAAUUGUAACCAGAAUAAACUAGAUUAAUCAAGAAUAUUAAUCCUUAUUAUUUGCUUCUUAGUAACAUCCUUAACUUUUUGCCAUAUGUAUUUUUUUGCCAUUCCUCACCACAAACCCUUUGCGGCAGGGGAUACUUAUUCAUCAGAUUUGCUUGUUUUAUCCUGCUGUCAUCAUCCUUCAACUCAGUUACAGAAUAGCUGAAAUAAUGGUAAAACCUGCUUUUUGUGGAAUUUUCAUAUCUCUUAAGUGAUUCUUGCAACUGUGAUCAGUAUAACAAAUAAUUAGUAAAUACUUCAAUUUACAGAACAAAUCUCAACAAGCUACAGUAUUACAUCAUCUGUUUGGUCUGCAGAUAACAAGUCAGCGGUUUGACCUCCAGAUCACAUCAGCAGUGUACCCUCGUAAAUUGGAACAGCUUGUGAGCAAGAUAGCAGGUCCGUCUAACAACCUACUGCAUCACUGCCACUUACACACUCAGAUGAAGAUUGUGGAUCAAAGCAUGCUGUGAUAGAAAUGACGUUGUCAGGAUUUGAGAUGAAGACAUGUAGGAAUUAUAUGGUGACAGUGUGCUCAGCAACAGUCUCCUCUCUACACACACUUCAAUAUAGAUAAGAUGGACAGAAGAAGAGAGUUACACCAAUAUUUUCAUGUCCAUGUAACACAAAUGGUAUGCAUACAAUUGAUUGGUUGGUUGGAGAGAACUCUUCCAGGUUGGAGGAAGUUGAAAAUGACUGCCUAGUGUUUACUUACCAGUUACCUCGGAAAUAUGUUCAAGUUCAAGGCUUACUUCUUGAGAGCAGGCAGCUACAAAAUGGAAGGUCAACAAAACCAGUAUACUUGAAAAGCAAGAAAGAAACACCAGGAAAUAUGAAAAGACAGAAGAACAAGGGAACUUGAAUAAAAAAAACUUUUAAAGAUAGGAAUUCAGGUUAUACUUAGAAACUAAAUUUAUUUUGAGAACAGCAGUGAUUGACUAAGCUCUGUUACUGUAAGAGAUAAAGUGGUUUUGUUAUGCUCAUAAAACAUACAAAAGUUUCAUUAAUCUUAUUUUAGAUAAUUGUUUUCUGGUUUAUUUUACAAAGGUAGUCUACUAAUUAACAUAGUUAUAUUUAAAGAGAAUUCCGAUAAUUUUUUUCCUUUCAUAGAAUUUUUUUAAAUUCAUAUAUAUGAUAGGAAAAUGUGUGCUGAAAACAAUGAACAAAUAAAAAUAAUAGGUCACCAGGCUUGUUUUUGUGAAAAAUUGCUUUGAACACACCCACUGUUGCUGAAACUGCCAGCGAUUUUUGAACAUUUUCAUAAUUUUCUGCUUUUUUAUAAAUACCAACCAAAAUAUACAUCCAGGCAGCACAAUACGGUUUUUUUCUUAUUACAGAUUUUAUCAUAUACUUACUUGAUAUCAUAGUCAUAUUUGUAAUACUCUAUCCUUACAAUGAUGGGUACAAAUGAAAAAAAAAUAUUGUUUCAUAUUUACUUUUGUGAACUUUUUUCAAUGAAAAAUACCCAUAGUGAAGAAUAUUUUUUUAAAUUUUGAAAAAACUCUUUCAUAGAAUUUUUUUCCUUUUUUUCUUGUGUAUAGAUAAUUGUAUUGUGAGCAUAAAAAUGGCUAAAAAUGUAUGGGUCACCAGGCUAAAUUUUAUGUUAAGACCGCUAGAAUACAAACACCUGUUCGGACGGAAAUGGCGCGAACCUGCCCAAAUUUAUUACAUGUAUGUCUGCUAAAAGUUUAAAAAAAGUUUUAAAAAUUCUUAAUUCUUUCUAUAAUUGCAUACUAAAUAAUCUGAAAGGUGAUAUUGUCUUAUCAGUACUAAGUCAAUUAUCUUACAUAAUAUGAACAACACUGUCUUUAUACUAAAAUGCGAUGUGAAAACACAACCACAAAAAUAGCAAGAUACCUGUCAGGCAUGAUACUUGUCAAUACAACAUAAACCAGUAUCAACAUCUGAUUACUGAUAUAACUUAUCAAAAAUGUUAUUUCAUUCAAGAUUCCUCAUAUUUAAGAUUGUCUGUAAUAUGUUUCAACAAAUGUUGACUUCAGUUCAGUUUUCCAUAGAAAGUGUCGGCUGCGCAGAAAGAUGCGCAU